CAGGGUUGGGGUCUCAGGUGGCAGUGUUCUUGGGACAUCUUCAUCAUGGUCUGGACUCUGGACUGACUCGCCCUCCUCACUCAGGGCACAGGUGA
rnacentral:pre_miRNA from 1 species